rnacentral:rRNA from 1 species
GACGAACGCUGGCGGCGUGCUUAACACAUGCAAGUCGAACGGAAAGGCCCUGCUUUUGUGGGGUGCUCGAGUGGCGAACGGGUGAGUAACACGUGAGUAACCUGCCCUUGACUUUGGGAUAACUUCAGGAAACUGGGGCUAAUACCGGAUAGGAGCUCCUGCUGCAUGGUGGGGGUUAGAAAGUUUCGGCGGUUGGGGAUGGACUCGCGGCUUAUCAGCUUGUUGGUGGGGUAGUGGCUUACCAAGGCUUUGACGGGUAGCCGGCCUGAGAGGGUGACCGGCCACAUUGGGACUGAGAUACGGCCCAGACUCCUACGGGAGGCAGCAGUGGGGAAUAUUGCACAAUGGGCAGAAGCCUGAUGCAGCAACGCCGCGUGCGGGAUGACGGCCUUCGGGUUGUAAACCGCUUUCGCCUGUGACGAAGCGUGAGUGACGGUAAUGGGUAAAGAAGCACCGGCUAACUACGUG